AUUGAACGCUGGCGGCAUGCCUUACACAUGCAAGUCGAACGGUAACAGGUCUUCGGAUGCUGACGAGUGGCGAACGGGUGAGUAAUGCAUCGGAACGUGCCCAGUAGUGGAGGAUAGCCCGGCGAAAGCCGGAUUAAUACCGCAUACGACCUGAGGGUGAAAGGGGGGGAUCGCAAGACCUCUCGCUAUUGGAGCGGCCGGUGUCAGAGUAGCUAGUUGGUGGGGUAAAGGCCCACCAAGGCGGCGCUCCGUGACUGGUCUGAGAGGAUGCGCAGACACACCGGGACUGAGACACGGCACGGCCCCAUCCGGGUGGGAGGAGUGCGGCAUAUUGGACAAUGGGGUGAACCCUGAUCCAGCCAUGCCGCGUGUUUGAAGAAGGACUUCGGUUUGUAAAGCACUUUAGUUUGGGAGGAAGGGUCGCUGGCUAAGAUCCAGCGGAAUCGACGUUACCGCCAGAAUAAGCACCGGCUAACUCCGUGCCAGCCGCCGCCGUAAAAC
rnacentral:rRNA from 1 species